CCUACUAAUGUGUUCGGAUGAUAUUCUUUAUCGCUGUUAAGUGUAGCGUAACAUCCGAGUGGUCGAUUUGACCUCUAACGAGACCAGCCUCGAGACCGUGCGAGAUCUGCACCAGUUCCUGUAAGAUUUAGACAGGAAGUAGAUAUGUGUUUUGGGAUUUAUGCAUUUAAUGUCUCUACAGGAAUGCUAUUUCACAUCAGUAUUCUGAUGUUGUAUGCCAGUCGCCCAUCAUCAUGAUCAUACCCCUAAUAUAUUGAAAGACAGUAGUGGUACAGAGAUUUGGACAAUUUAUCAUCUACAGGAUGAUGUCAGGAUCACAAACAAAUAAGAAAAUCUGUUCAAGAACAUCAAGAAACUUUCCACUGAGACAUAAAAACAUGUACAGAGGCAAUUUCAAAAUACACACAAAGAAGGAUUUGUCAAAAGUGUGUUUUUGACAAAGAAGGUUUAAAACCUUUGUGGACGUGGAUAUUGAAACUCCUUAAAACUCUUGAAGGAUGAGGAAAAGGAACCAUUGAAAUGGAACGUGUUGGACAGGGUUAUCACGAUCAUGCAUUUAUAAAAGAUGACAGCAUAUCAGCACUGCCUUAAGAUUGGAGUUGAGACCUUGUAUUUUUUACAUGGAAAAUAAAGAACAGUUGUCGAAUGAAACAGAUGCUCGCAGAAGCAAAUGUAAUGAGGCCAGAAUGAUGGUGAUCAAUUUUGAAUGAUUUCAUUCUCUGGUUGAAAUGAUACUGAUCCAGUUUGGUUGACAAUGAAUACUAAGUAUUUUGUUAUAUAUAAGUAUAAUGGCUUAUUUUAAAACUGUAUAAAGCUUAAUAUAUAAUGUAACGAUAAUAUAUAGGAAUCAAUAUUUUUUGAAGGAUAAAAGAUGUAAUUUUUUUUCAAUCAGAAUUUCCUAAAAAGACUUUCUAAUGUAAGUACAUGUAUGAAUAAUAGAAGUUUAUAAUCCUUUCUUUUACUGUCAUUGAAAUACUGUAGUAAUGAACCACAAUUUUACACCAAAAAUGUUUUAAUUUAACAUGAACUUUUCAAUUUUUUAUGAAGUUUGAAUUGCGGCUCAAAUUGCUUUUUAUUGAUUUAUCUCCCUUAACCUUAGAUUUGUAGUGCAUUCUAUGUACAAUUACAAAUGUAAUAAAUUUAAUUUUGGAGCAUGGGAAAGGUCUUGUUUUGAACUCUGCUGAUUUUAACUCAAGCCGAGUAAAUGUCUUUAGUACAUGUACAUCUUUAUAUGACAAAUGAAAUGGCUAUUUUAAAAAAUAUGUACAUGUACAUGUAUAUCUGUACAAAUAAUUGAUCUUGCCAAAGAGUUAUUUCCCCUGUUCACAAUUUAAAAAAAAAUCUGAAUGAUAUAUGCAUGACUGUUUUACAAAAAGCAAAGAGAUAACUUUAUUUUAUAUGUUUUAGAGAUGUCCUCAUUGUGUUCAGUAUCUGCUUUUCUUACAAGUAUUAAUGAUAUUGAAAUAAACUGUGCUAAUAUUAAAAAGUAUUUUUAUAUCAUGACAUGAUUAUAUAUUGAACCUUGUUCAUUGGAGCUGUGGCCAGAAGUGUUUGGCUAAUACAGCUAGGGGUUCAAAAUAUUUCACAGAGUGCGAUUAAAAUACAGAAAUAAUAUAUUUUAUAUGGUAAAACAUAUAUUUAGAAAACAUCUUGUUGGAUCUUUUCUCAAGUAUGAUCUCAGUUAAAAGGAACUGGGUGUAAAAAGAGCUUACAUGUAUAUAUUCUAGAUAUUUAUUUAAAUGCUUUUGGGUCUAUGAAAAAGGCACAAGGUGAAGAAAUGUGAACAUUUUAGUCCAACUUGACAUUGGGGACAGGGAUAUACUAAGUAUGUGUAAGAUCAUGAUCAUGUGACACCUACAUGUAACAGUCAGCUAGAUUUAAAAGGGUAAUAAGGCUUUGAAGUUUGCCAAAUCAAUUUAGGUAUGACUAGGAAAUUAGAUUUGUGUGUGUGUUUUCAUACAUUUUUGUUACCCCCCCCCCCCAAUUUUAUGGUUUUAUGAUUCUGACUAAGGGUGUUGGUAUGUAACAACACCACCCCCACCACUCAUGUGGACAAAGAAUUCCUGGAACCAUCCAUGCCUUUAAUAAAAAUAUCCUAAGUGCUCUGGAAAAUUUAUUAAACCCUAGAGAUAGGGUUGAAAAUAAAGAAGUAUGAAAAUGGGAGAAAAAAUAUUGAGAAGCAGGAUGGAUGGGUCUCAUCCCUCCUUUCCAAAUAAAAAGAAGUUGGAAAAAAAAGAAAUUGUGUUUGUUUCGGGGGGAGGAGUUUUAAUUUCCUGCAUGUCUAACCAACUUGACAUGUUUAGGGAUCCAGGUUCUGAGUUUCUGAGUCAUUUAGAUUGCAUGUAAUUCAGUUUUCAUUAAAAAAAUAUUUUUGUAUCAUUUAAUAUUUACUUAUAGCACUAGCUCUGAAAUCCAAAUAACUGCCACCCACCCCCUUUUCCGUGCCCGGAUGGAUUUAUUGGAUAUGGAACCCUAAGUAUUAAAUGUUCCUGAACCAUGAUAACAGAAAUCUUGUUAACAUUUGAUGUGUAUCUAUAACUGUAAAAUAAAGGAAUUGCUCGUAACUAUUUUUCAAGAUCUGGGUUAUAUAUAGAAAACAGACUAUAGGUGUGAACGUUCUCCUUUACUGCGAACCUAAUGACCUUUGACUAGUUCAAGAGAAAC